GGGAAAGGAGCUAGGAUGAAGGAGGUGCAGGAAAGGAGGAAGGAGGGAGAGAAUCUUUUUAAAAAGGAGGAUGGGAGGCGUUAAGGCAUGUGGCUAAUGUGAUUAACAGUGGUCUAGGGGCAACGUGGGGUAUUAAUUUUGAUCUCCCUAGAUUUAUGGCUGCUGUGAAAAUGCAUGACUGUGAGGCAGGGGCUGGAUGGCAGGGGAACCCAGGAAGCUCUCCUGUUUCUCUCCACUGAGAGCUGGCCAGGUGAGAGCAGGGUAAAAUUCACCUGAAAGAACAAGGUCCCUGGCUCUGAGAAGCCCAAAGUAAGGACUCAGGAGAAGAACCCACCAGGAAACUGGCAUUAUUAUAUCUCUGCUGUGUGGGGCUCUAGGUUGUGCUGUGUCCCCCCUCACCCUGGACCCCAGCUCCCCCCAAGUGGUUGGGUAUCAGGCUCUUCCACAAACAGAUUCUAUGGUUUCCCCUUAAUGCCCCAAGAUUGGAUGUGAAAAUCCUUUCUAGGGGAAGCACAUCCAACCAGGGCUAUGGGGGAGAGGAUGACCUGAACUCCGCGGUAACUGGGUGUUUUCCAGGUCUAAAGACUGAGGGAUAGUCAGAGCCAAGAGGAGGCUGGGAAGACAUGAGGACUAAGUGCAGUGCGGGGUCCUGGGGCAGGAAAAAGCAUUUGAGGAAGCUGGAAUGAAGUGUGGACUUUAGUUAAGAAUAAUGUUUCAAUAUGGUCUUGUUAAUGGAAACAAAUGUACCAUAAGACAUCAAUAAUAGGGAAAACUGGGUGUGUAAUAUGUGGAAAAUCUCUAUACUAUCUUUGUAAUUUUUCUGUAAAUCUAAAACAACUCUAAAAUUAAAUAGUUUUAAUGUGUGAGUCACCAGUAGUGUGGACUCAAAGAUGGGAACAUUGCCUCUGGAAAGGUCAUGUUUAAGAUACACUUUCAGUUUAGUUCAGUUCAGUCAUUCAGCCGUGUCUGACUCUUUGUGACCCCAUGAACUGCAGCACGCCAGGCC
rnacentral:lncRNA from 1 species